UAUGUGUGUUGGUGCUAGGCUUCGGGGUUAGUAUGUGUUUGUUGGUGCUAGGCCUCAGAGUUAGUAUGUGUGUUGGUGCUAGGCUUCAGGGUUAGUAUGUGUGUGUUGGUGCUAGGCUUCAGGGUUAGUAUGUGUAUGUUGGUGCUAGGCUUUGGGGUUAGUAUGUGUGUGUUGGUGCUAGGCUUCAGGGUUAGUAUGUGUGUUGGUGCUAGGCUUCAGGGUUAGUAUGUGUGUUGGUCCUAGGCUUCAGGGUUAGUAUGUGUGUUGGUGCUAGGCUUCAGGGUUAGUAUAUGUGUGUUGGUGCUAGGCUUCAGGGUUAGUAUGUGUGUUGGUCCUAGGCUUCAGGGUUAGUAUGUGUGUUGGUGCUAGGCUUCAGGAUUAGUAUGUGUGUUGGUGCUAGGCGUAGGCUCUAUUCUCCUCUCCGAGACAGGAUGUAGCCAAGGCCGCUCUAACACGAGUGUCAGUAAA
ensembl:lncRNA